rnacentral:rRNA from 1 species
UCCAUGGUAGUAGCAAUACUCCGGAAGAUUUAGUGGCGAACGGGUGAGGAACACGUGAGAAACUUGCCCCGGACUUUGGGAUAACAGUUGGAAACGACUGCUAAUACCGAAUACCUUCGGAGUCCCGCAUGGGUCAUCGAAGAAAGAAUUUCGGUCCGGGAGAGUCUCGCGGCCUAUCAGCUAGUUGGUGGGGUAAUGGCCUACCAAGGCAACGACGGGUAGCUGGUCUGAGAGGAUGAUCAGCCACACUGGGACUGAGACACGGCCCAGACUCCUACGGGAGGCAGCAGUGGGGAAUCUUGUGCAAUGGGCGCAAGCCUGACACAGCAACGCCGCGUGCGGGAAGAAGGCCUUCGGGUCGUAAACCGCUUUCAGCAGGAACGAAAAUGACGGUACCUGCAGAAGAAGAUGCGGCCAACU